AUCUGAUGGAAAGUGCCACCUUACUUUUCCCAUCUCGGUCACAUUCUCUCGUUUCCCUGCCAAGGAUUGGGUGGUGCGUCGACCCCGAAGCGUGAAGUGUUGUUGAGAAAAGAACCCCGUAAACUCUCUGUGAUUAGAGCUGCUGCUGCUAAGUCGCUUCAGUCGUGUCCGACUCUGUGCGAGCCCAGAGACGGCAGCCCACCAGGCUCCCCCGUCCCUGGGAUUCUCCAGGCAAGAACCCUGGAGUGGGUUGCCAUUUCCUUCUCCAAUGCAUGAAAGUGAAAAGAGAAAGUGAAGUUGCUCAGUCGUCUUCGACUCUUAGCGACCCCAUGGACUGCAGCCCACCAGGCUCCUCCGUCCAUGGGAUUCUCCGGGCAAGAGUACUGGAGUGGGGUGCCGUUGCCUUCUCCAGCGAUUAGAGCUAGAUACUCCUAAAUUCUCUUUAUUCACCUGAGACUUGUUCAGACUCCUGUCUUAUCCCAGGUUUUUUCUAUGACUCCGGACGCAAAGGUAAAAAGAAAGUAGUCCUGGUCAUUAUAAACCUCACAGUCUAGCGGAGGAAAAGAGAUAUAAACAGCGUAAAUGCCAUUUGCAGUAAAACUUUGCAGGAAAUGUUCGGAGUGGAAGAUGGGUGUGAAGGGAAAUAUUCUGCUGGCAUCUGCUGCGUGCACCGUGCUAGGUGCGUUCUUUGUGUUCUCUUGUCUGCUGCUCUUGGAGAAUACCUGACUGCAGCUCAUGAUGUACCAGCAUCUCCGCUUCUUCAUGAAUUACUCCUCGCUGGGGAAGAUUCUCACACAAAUAUUGGAGACCGCAGCCUGGCCCAGUUUCAAGUCACUGAGAUUCUCAUGCACUGAUACUCUUGAAGGUGGCAGUAUUGAAACCCCAUCUCCAGGACAUGGCCCCCAGGGUUAUCACACCCGUCAGCGUCAAGCCAGUGGAAGGAGAACCAAGGAAUGAGGAAAGCGCAUUCCUGCCGAUCACAUCAGUCGAACCCCUGAAUUGCCCUGCCCACUCAAGAGCAGGAAUAUAGAGAGAAGAAAUCGAGUGUUGCAAUUUCUCCUUCUGAAUCUUAAAUAGCUUCCGUACUGCUUCCAGGUUGUGAUAUAAACCAGAGGAUGCUGUCACUGUGCUGUGGCCCCAUUUACCUUUCUAGAGUUAGAAGGCAAAGGUUGUAUCUGACGGGUCUACCAGCCCUUUCUUGGUUUUCCAUCUCUUAUCCCAUAAAUACAUGGUCUAGUAAGGUCCAGUGUCUUUGUGAGUGUCUCACAAUUCAUCUGUGGCAUUUUUAUUAGGUAUGGACAUUCCCAAAGGAACUGAGAAGUGGCAUUAUCAAUGCUUUCCAAAAUAUACACUGGUAGGUAGAUAAUUUUGGCUUCCCUGGUGGCUCAGAUGGUAAAGAAUCCACCUGCAAUGUGUGAGACCCAGGUUCAGUCCCUGGGUCAGGAAGAUCCCCUGGAGAAGGGAAUGGCAAGCCCCUCCAGUAUUCUUGCCUGGAGAAUCCCAUGGGGUUGCAAAGAGUUGGACAUGACUGAGUGACUUUCACUUUCACUUCAGGUAAGUAAUUUAGAUGAAAUCUUCGGUAGUUAAGAGUUUUUCAAGAGCAGUGCUGGGCAAUAAAUUUAAAUCAGGAUUCUUGGUAUAACUAGGG
rnacentral:lncRNA from 1 species